UCCAUAGGUUAAUGAGGCGAACCGGGGGAACUGAAACAUCUAAGUACCCCGAGGAAAAGAAAUCAACCGAGAUUCCCCCAGUAGCGGCGAGCGAACGGGGAGGAGCCCAGAGCCUGAAUCAGCAUGUGUGUUAGUGGAAGCGUCUGGAAAGGCGCGCGAUACAGGGUGACAGCCCCGUACACAAAAGCGCAUGUGCUGUGAGCUCGAUGAGUAGGGCGGGACACGUGGUAUCCUGUCUGAAUAUGGGGGGACCAUCCUCCAAGGCUAAAUACUCCUGACUGACCGAUAGUGAACCAGUACCGUGAGGGAAAGGCGAAAAGAACCCCGGCGAGGGGAGUGAAAAAGAACCUGAAACCGUGUACGUACAAGCAGUGGGAGCCCCA
rnacentral:rRNA from 1 species